UACGGAGGGUGCGAGCGUUGUCCGGAAUCACUGGGCGUAAAGGGCGCGUAGGUGGCGCGAGGAGUCUGUGGUGAAAGCCCGAGCUCAACUUCGGGUCGGCCGCGGAUACUCUCGUGCUGGAGGGUGGUAGAGGCCAAUGGAAUUCCGGGUGUAGCGGUGGAAUGCGUAGAGAUCCGGAAGAACACCGGUGGCGAAGGCGGUUGGCUGGGCCACACCUGACACUGAGGCGCGACAGCGUGGGGAGCAAACAGG
rnacentral:rRNA from 1 species